ACUUUCUUAGUAUUAAGCAGUACACGUGACUUCCAAUCACAAAGUCUUAGUUAAAGUCUAAGAGAAAGUA
rnacentral:tRNA from 1 species